rnacentral:rRNA from 1 species
AAUGAACGCUGGCGGCGCGCCUAAUACAUGCAAGUCGAGCGAGAAGACGUAGCAAUACGUUUGUAAAGCGGCGAACGGGUGAGGAAUACAUGGGUAACCUACCCUCGAGUGGGGAAUAACUAGCCGAAAGGUUAGCUAAUACCGCGUACGCUCCUUGGACUUCGGUUCAGGGAGGAAAGCGAUACCGUGGGUAUCGCGCUCUUGGUUGGGCUCAUGUCCUAUCAGCUUGUUGGUGAGGAACGGCUCACCAAGGCUUCGACGGGUAGCUGGUCUGAGAGGACGAUCAGCCACACUGGCACUGCGACACGGGCCAGGCUCCUACGGGAGCAGCAGUAAGGAAUAUUGCGCAAUGGGCGAAAGCCUGACGCAGCGACGCCGCGUGGGGGAUGAAGGUCUUCGGAUU